UACGUAGGGCGCAAGCGUUGUCCGGAAUUAUUGGGCGUAAAGAGCUCGUAGGCGGCUUGUCACGUCGAUUGUGAAAGCCCGAGGCUUAACCUCGGGUCUGCAGUCGAUACGGGCUAGCUAGAGUGUGGUAGGGGAGAUCGGAAUUCCUGGUGUAGCGGUGAAAUGCGCAGAUAUCAGGAGGAACACCAGCGGCGAAGGCGGCGCUCUGGGCCGGAACUGACGCUGAGGAGCGAAAGCGUGGGUAGCAAACAGG
rnacentral:rRNA from 1 species